CCCCCACCCCACCCCCACCCCACCCCACAACAUACAUCCCCUCCAUCCCAAUUUUUCAGUCUCUCUCUCUCAUUUUAUCCAUUUUAGGUUCGCUGACAACCGUCAAAUAAUUGCAGUUCAAAGCCCUUUUCCUUGUUGACAUCUUGUACCCUACAGGGUCACGCUUCAUAUAAUUGUUACAGCUCUGAAUUAUUUUCCAAUGUCAGAUGCUGAUAGAGAAGUCAUAAAACCCGAGAUGAUGAAGUCGUAUAUAUGGCUUCAAACAGCUGAUGGUUCAAUUCAACAAUUAGAACAAGAAGUCGCCAUGUUUUGCCCUGUGAUAUGUCAUGAAAUACACACAGGCAUGGGGUCUUCGAAGAACUACCCUAUAUCUCUUCCACCACGAGUCAAUCCUGCAAUGUUGAGCUUGAUUCUUGAUUAUUGCAGAUUUCAUCAAGUAUCAGGUCGCUCUAACAAGGAACGGAAGUCUUUUGAUGAGAAGUUCAUUCGGAUGGACACAAAAAGGCUCUGUGAGUUGACAUCUGCUGCUGACAGCCUCCAACUGAAGCCCUUGGUUGACCUCACCAGCCGUGCACUAGCACGAAUGAUUGAAGGAAAAACUCCUGAGGAGAUACGCGAGACAUUUCAUUUGCCUGACGAUCUUACAGAGGAAGAGAAAUUGGAGCCUUUGAAAAACACAACCGAUGAUCCGCGGAUAAGGCUUUUGAAUAGGCUGUACGCAAGAAAGAGGAAAGAACUUAAAGAGAGAGAGAGAUUGAAGAAUGUCGAGGUUGAAGAGGAGCAUGUGGAUGAUCGUUCAAUCGAUGACCUCUUGUCUUUUAUUAAUGGAGGAAAUGGAGAUUCUAAAGGGGUCAGAACUUCUAAAAAUAAAAAGAAGAACCGGAGAAGAAAAGAUCAACAAGGGGAUACUUGUUCUAAUUGUGUUGCUUCUUUAUCUGAUAUCUCUUCUUCAAACAAUGCCAUUGAAAUCCAUAAGGAGUUAAAUGGUCCAGAUUCUGUUUACCAUAAUGUCCAUAUCCACAAUUUGAUUCUGCCCACUAUUGAUGAGAGAUUAAAGCUACAAGACAUGGAAGAUGAUAAUUUUGCACCUGAGGAUGAGUUUGAUGAUGGCGAUAUAGAUGACGAGAUAGAUCCAGCAAUGAAAGAAGAAAUUGAUAGGGAGGUGGAGGAUUUUGCCCGUAGACUGAAUUCAGACUGGCCUGAAAGAUUGCAAGAGAUUCUAUCUUUAGGACAAGGAAGGAGACCAGUACCAAUAUCUAUCAAUGGUAAUGGUUCCUUAAAAAGAUAUCCGAGCGGGAAAGACCACAAAUGAAAGUGAUUGGGACUUCCAUAGAAUGGCAAGUGUAGCCAGAACGAUUUUGACCAUAUGUCAGCUAGAAGAGAUUGCGAUGGGGACUAGAAGAGUUGAUGUAAAUCCACAUGUAAAAGUGGGUUGAUCUCUUGUACUCUACAGGAAAACAAAAUGAAAAGGAAAUUAUCUUGUUACAAGUCUGUGCUGCUCAACCGUCCAUUGUUAAUUUCCUGCUUUUGCGUUGCCUGAUUGUCUAGCUUUUGUACCUUUCACAGGACCGUUGUUCUACAUGGUCUUUCUUCAUUGAAGAAAGGCUUCAAAUUUAAUUGGUGGAACAGGAUUUUUUUUUGUUUUUUUGUUUUUUUUUUAAUUUUAAUGUAAAUUUUAGAGUUUAUGCAUUCAUGUUGUUUGGGGGUGACUUUGAGGUCUCGAAUGAGAAAUGGUCCUUGAAUUAUUUGACGAUAGCAUCAAUACCGAGGAAUGUAAAGGCAUUGAGAGCUCACGUCGUUGGUCGGUUUGGAUUGGAAGUGUUGUGACAUCUGUAUGCUGUGUAUUGGACAUGAGUGUUUUUUUUUUUUUUUAUCGAUUUUUCUCAGAAAGUCGAAUUGAAAAAUUGUCUGCUGACAUUUCAUUUGAUGGUUUUGUGUUGAAUAGGGCUCAAAGUGGGAAGAUAAUCAGCUGUGAGACUUGUCAUAAGCAGGAUUUGUAGCUACCAUGAACGAGGGGACAGCAAAACCCUACUAUAGUGCUACAUGACGUAUCAUGCGUUCAUCAAUCCAGUGAUAUGUUGUCAACAAUUUGAUUUUAGGGUUAGGUGUAAAAACCUGUUCGAAUUAGCGAAUGACCCCUGGUCCUUUAAAGAAGCUUUUAUGUAGGCCUGUCAACGAAUGAGAUUUGGAUCGGCUUCGAUUUGUUAAUCUAAUGAAUUAUUCGGCUUCGAUUUGUUAA